GCGGGAGUGGCGGAAUGGCAGACGCGCUAGGUUGAGGGCCUAGUGGUAGCAAUACUGUGGGGGUUCAAAUCCCCCCUUCCGCA
rnacentral:tRNA from 1 species